rnacentral:lncRNA from 10 species
AGAACGCAACGGACCCCAGCAACAAAGGAGUGCAGAGACUCUGAGUGCGGCCUUCUGCUUCCCCGGAUUGACAGUUGGCAGGGCCCCGUCCCAGGGCCCCUGAUUGGAUGGGGUUCCAGGCUCCGCCCCUCAGCCCUGAGUGACAGGGUAAGCCCUGGGUAACGGAGCCCUGCAGAGCCCGGCUGAUUAAUCCUAGCUACAGCCUUUCUAAGGCUAAGCUCACUCCCUGCGCCCUGGUCGUUGGCUAUCUGCAUUUCAGCCAAACUUGCUACUUAUUGUUAGAAGGGGCACUGUUAGCUUCCUCGAUCUUUCAGAAAUGUGUGCUGGGAAUUCCAGACUCGGUGUUCAAUGGAGUCAUUCCUUUGCCUCAUAGCAGGAAGGAAAUCCAGGCCAGGCCAGGCCAGGCAAGACUGCACCAGGAGGGAGAGGCAGGUGUCCUCUACAGGGCGGGAAUUGGGGAUGAGACUUCCUCACACUCCCCCCGUCCCACCCCUGAAUAUGGAACCGCUUCCUCCCCCUAGACUUCAUUUUCACCAGCAGAAGUUCUCACCUGGGGUCAGUUUAAGCUUCUAACCUAAGUAAACUAUUACCUUCACAAACCCUUUCUCCAGGUGACAUGUCAGACAAAUCUUACUGAGCCUGAUCUUCACAGAUUAUCUUUGUAUGUACAAAUUACAGUCUGUCGCCGGGACCCUUUGCACGUAAAAACCAAACACUGCCCCCGCAAAACGUCCCUAGGCUCUAGGUACAGCCCCAGUAAGGACAGAACCUCCCCCCAACCCCCCUACACAAAGUGCACCUGCACGUGAGUCUCCUGCUUUCCAGGGCUCUGUAGCUUCUCAGGAUCCACAUUCCUUCCGCAGCUGUUCUGAGCAGCUGGAGGCCACCUGCAGUAGAGGGCAGGCUGCCCGGGAAACACCCAGGGGAGCUCCCUUUCCCUCCCUUUGCCGGCUCCAGACUGGCCUCAGCAGGGUGUCACUGGCCUUAGGCUCUGCUGCCCCCUACAGGUUAUUCACUUCAUUGAUCGGUUACCUGAGACAAACACCCUCAGUUCCACUGUACGUAUGUAUAAAGUGGGGAAGGAAAAUUCUAAGAUAAUUGAAGUGAAUUAAAAGACUUGCAGGCAGGGUGCGGGGGCUCACGCCUAUAAUCCCAACCCUUUUGGAGGCUGAAGCGGGAGGACUGCUUGAACCCAGGAGUUCAUCAUCCUGGAAAACGGAGCCACACCUCGUCUGUACUAAAAAUUUAAAAAUUAGCAGUGCGUGGUGUCCUGAACCUGUAGUCCCAGCUACUCGGGAGGCUGAGGUGGGAAGAUCUUGAGCCCAGGAGUUUGAAGCUUCAGUGACCUAUGAUCUCGCCACUGUGCUUCAGCAAGAGUUGUGAUAGUUGUAUCAGAUAAAAUAGACUUUAAAUAAAAAACAGUACAAAAAGACAAAGAAGAUCAUGAGAUACUGAUAACAGAAUCAAUUCAGCAAGAUAAUAUAGUAAUACUAAAUAUAUAUGCAUCCAACAUUGGAGAGGCCAAAUUAAUAAAGCAAAUAUUUCUAGACCUAAAGAAAGAUAUAGAUAGCAAUACAAUAAUAGUAUGGGACUUCAGCACCUCACACACAGUAGUAGAUAUAUCAUCAAGACAGACAAUCAACAAAAAAAUUGGACUUAAGUUGGACUUUGGACCAAAUGGAGCUAACAGACGUUUACAGAACCCAACAACUGCAGAAUAUACAUUCUUCUCAUCAGUACGUGAAACAUUCUCCAAGGUAGACCAUAUGUUAGGCCACAAAACUAGUCUCGACAAAUUUUAAAGUCAAAAUCAUUUCAAGCAUCUUCUCAGACUGCUGAAUAAAACUAAAAAUCAAUACCAAGAGGAACUUUGAAAACUGUAUAAAUACAUGGAAAUUAAACAAUGUGCUCCUGAAUGAUCUCUGAGUCAAAGAAGAAAUAAAAACAGAAAAUAAAAAUUUUGUUUGAAAUGAACAAAAAUGGCAACACAACAUAUCAAAACCUCUGGGAUAUAGGAAAAGUCAUGCUAAGAGGGAAGUUUAUAGAAUUAUAUGCCUCUGUCAAAAAAGUAACAAAUUAACAACCUAACAUGGUACCCCAUGGAACUAGGAAAACAAGAACAAAACAAAUCCAAAGUUGGCAGAAAAGAAAUAACAAAGAUCAGAGCAGAAUUAAACAAAAUCAAGACUAAAAAACAACACAAAUGAUAAACGAAACAAAAAGUUGGUUCUUUGAAAAUAUCAACAAAAGUAAUAAACUGCUGGCUAGACUAACCAAGAAAAAAAAGAAGAUUCAAAUGAACAAAACCAGAAUUGAAAAAGAAGACAUUACACCAAUACCACAGAAAUACCAUCAGAGACUACUAUGAACAACUAUAUGCUCACAACCUAGAAAACCUAUAGGUUUUUUUGAAACGUAUAACCUCCCAGGAUUGAACCAAGAAGAAACAGAUAUCCUGAAUAGACCAAUAAUAAGUAGCAAUAUUGAAUCAGCAAUAAAAAAAUUCCCAAAAAUG